CAAGGAUUCCCCUAGUAACGGCGAGUGAAGCGGGAAGAGCUCAAAUUUGAAAUCUGGCGGUCUACGGCCGUCCGAGUUGUAAUCUAGAGAGGUGUUUUCCGUGCCGGACCGUGUACAAGUCCCUUGGAACAGGGCGUCAUAGAGGGUGAGAAUCCCGUCCAUGACACGGACUACCGGUGCUCUGUGAUACACCUUCGAAGAGUCGAGUUGUUUGGGAAUGCAGCUCAAAAUGGGUGGUAAAUUCCAUCUAAAGCUAAAUACAGGCGAGAGACCGAUAGCGAACAAGUACCGUGAGGGAAAGAUGAAAAGAACUUUGGAAAGAGAGUUAAACAGUACGUGAAAUUGUUGAAAGGGAAACGCUUGAAGUCAGUCGCGUCUGUCAGGACUCAGCCUUGCUUCUGCAUGGUGCAUUUCCUGGUGGAUGGGCCAGCAUCGAUUUUGGUCGCCGGAAAAGGGCGGGAGGAAUGUGGCAGCUUGCUGUGUUAUAGCCUCCUGUCGUACACGGUGGUUGGGAUCGAGGACUGCAGCACGCCUUUGGUCGGGGUUCGCCCACGCCACGUGCUUAGGAUGCUGGCGUAAUGGCUUUAAGCGACCCGUCUUGAAACACGGACCAAGGAGUCUAACAUGCCUGCGAGUGUUUGGGCGUUAAACCCAGGCGCGUAAUGAAAGUGAAAAGUUGGGACUCUUUAGUGAGGCACCGACGCCCGAUCCUGACGUUCUCUGACGGAUUUGAGGUAGAGCAUGUAUGUUGGGACCCGAAAGAUGGUGAACUAUGCCUGAAUAGGGUGAAGCCAGAGGAAACUCUGGUGGAGGCUCGUAGCGAUUCUGACGUGCAAAUCGAUCGUCAAAUUUGGGUAUAGGGGCGAAAGACUA
rnacentral:rRNA from 1 species